rnacentral:tRNA from 1 species
ACUUAGGUAGUUUAAUUAAAAAUCUUGAUUUGUGGUGUCAGGGAUAUAAGAGUUAUAUCUUGUCUUAAGUC